rnacentral:rRNA from 1 species
UACGAAGGGGGCUAGCGUUGUUCGGAAUCACUGGGCGUAAAGGGCGCGUAGGCGGCUUUAUAAGUCGGGGGUGAAAGCCUGUGGCUCAACCACAGAAUUGCCUUCGAUACUGUAUGGCUCGAGACCGGAAGAGGUAAGUGGAACUGCGAGUGUAGAGGUGAAAUUCGUAGAUAUUCGCAAGAACACCAGUGGCGAAGGCGGCUUACUGGUCCGGAUCUGACGCUGAGGCGCGAAAGCGUGGGGAGCAAACAGG